rnacentral:lncRNA from 1 species
AUGCCCUCUACCUCUCUACGCUGCCUCCCUGAAGCCAUAACUUACGGCACACCCAGCGCAGGCCCAGUGGACCCAGGGGAUCUGCAGGGCAGGAGGUAGAGCUGUUUAGAGGCGGAAGUGAGGAGCACAGGCCCUGCUCUGCGUUUGCCUACCUGAGCAACGGGAAUAAAGCCGGACUCCGCCUCCCCUGGUGUUGUGUGGCUUUGCGGGCCGAGGCACUCAGCACUGAGCCCAGGGCCUGUUGGUGAAAAACGCAUCGCUCCGGGGUCCUAAGCGCCGGUGAUGUAGCUCUGCGCUCAUGCACGGAAAGGCACCUGAGAGCGCGGAUGAGGAAUGGGAGGGCCUUGAGCCGUCUCGCCCUGUGUGUGAGGUGCUAAUGGACCCAGUGUGCAAUGCAUCAGACAUCUCGGGAGACAGAGAGAGGAAUCGCCCAAUCCGUCACCCUGGAGAGCUGUCAGGAAAGAGAGUGUGGCUCUGCCCCUCCCCCUGUGAAUGACACAAAGGUAGACCCCAGGGUGUUUGACCUGGAAAGGGCCUCUGAGUCACCU